GUCAGGAUGGCCGAGCGGUCUAAGGCGCUGCGUUUCAGGUCGCCACCCUGGAGGGCGUGGGUUCCGAAUCCCACUUCUGACA